UUUGGAUUUAAAUUAUUAUUAACCUAGGUAGUAUAAGUUAUGGUCUUGAAACCUAAAGAAUUUGGCGGUAUUUUAGUCUUUUUAGAGGAAUCUGUUCCUUAAUCGAUAGUCCGCGUUGAACCUUACCAAGUUAUUGUAUGUAUACCGCCGUUAUAAUGGGAAUCUUUUUAGGGUUUAUAUAAUUUUCUUGAUUUAUUAUAAUAUAUUAUUUCAGGUCAAGGUGCAGUUUAUUAUUUGGUGGAGAUGGAUUACAUUUAAAUUUGUUAUUGGAUUAAUUUGUUGAAAUUUUAUUAUGAAAUUGGAUUUAAUUGUAAUUUUUUGUAGAUUGUAAUGAUGAUUUUAGCUCUAGAAUAUGU
rnacentral:rRNA from 1 species